AGCCUGCAACUCGGCUGCAUGAAGCUGGAAUCGCUAGUAAUCGCGGAUCAGAAUGCCGCGGUGAAUACGUUCCCGGGUCUUGUACACACCGCCCGUCACACCAUGGGAGUCGGGAAUGCCCGAAGUCAGUGACCCAACCGAAAGGGGGAGCUGCCGAAGGCAGGCCUGGUAACUGGGGUGAAGUCGUAACAAGGUACC
rnacentral:rRNA from 1 species